UUUCAUGUGACAUUUUGUCUCACAUAUCAGUUGUGCUUUCUUAUUUAUAUGUGAAAUAUCCUUCUAAAAUAUUGUAAGUUUUUUUUUACCCUUAAAAUGCUACAACUUGAUCUUACGAGCUCUUACGAGCUCCAUAAUGGCUUCUUCUCUUUGCUCUUCUCUUAGCCCUUAAAUUUAUAAUCAAUACUCUAUGUUGGGGGAGUUAAGCUCUCUAUAUAUGACUUUAUAAUCUAAACAGAUCUUUAUGCAGUAGUAUUUUCUAAUAAAAUAAAAAGCAAUUAUGGAGCAACUUUGAUUAUAUGAGAACAUGUCACACCAAUAUUGUUUUAUAUCAAAGAAAUAUAUUUUAAUCCCUUUGAUUUUUUAUUUUUUUUUAGUAUGUAAAUAGUUGCAUAAUUGAAAGUUUUAAUCCCUCCUUUAAAAAAAAAGUUUUAAUCCCUUUAAAACCAAAUUCUUUCAAUUUGACUAUGUAUUUUCAAAUACGUUUAAACUGGUCUCUCAACUAUUUUUUUUUUUUAAGUGAUGCAAAUUUGAUUAUGUGUGUCUGUGUCAACUGAAUUUUAUACUUGUUGAUUCGUCAAAUUCUAUAGUAUAACGACACAAAUAUCCAUUUUAUUCACCAUCUAUCUAUGAUUCUUCUUCUAUGAAUUCAAAGAUCUUCUCUAUCUUGGAUUGAU
rnacentral:lncRNA from 1 species